AGCAGCCGCGGUAAUUCCAGCUCCAAUAGCGUAUAUUAAAGUUGUUGCAGUUAAAAAGCUCGUAGUUGAAUUUCGGGGUCAGUAGGUUGGUCAUGCCACUGGUAUGUACUGGUCUCACUGAUUCCUCCUUCCUGAUGAGCCGUAAUGCCAUUAAUUUGGUGUUGCGAGGAAUCUGGACUGUUACUUUGAAAAAUUAGAGUGUUUAAAGCAGGCUAACGCUUGAAUACAUUAGCAUGGAAUAAUGAAAUAGGACGUUCGAUCCUAUUUUGUUGGUUUCUAGGAUUGACGUAAUGAUUAAUAGGGAUAGUUGGGGGCAUUAGUAUUCAAUUGUCAGAGGUGAAAUUCUUGGAUUUAUUGAAGACUAACUACUGCGAAAGCAUUCGCCAAGGAUGUUUUCAUUAAUCAAGAACGAAAGUUAGGGGAUCGAAGACGAUCAGAUACCGUCGUAGUCUUAACCAUAAACUAUGCCGACUAGGGAUCGGAUGAUGUUUAAUUUUUAAUGACUCA
rnacentral:rRNA from 1 species